rnacentral:rRNA from 1 species
AGUGAACGCUGGCGGCAGGCCUAAUACAUGCAAGUCGAACGGCAGCACAGCAGAGCUUGCUCUGUGGGUGGCGAGUGGCGGACGGGUGAGGAAUACGUGGGAAUCUGCCCAGUCGUGGGGAUAACGUAGGGAAACUUACGCUAAUACCGCAUGCGCCCUUCGGGGGAAAGCCGGGGGACCUUCGGGCCUGGCGCGAUUGGAUGAGCCCACGUCGGAUUAGCUAGUUGGCGGGGUAAAGGCCCACCAAGGCGACGAUCCGUAGCUGGUCUGAGAGGAUGAUCAGCCACACUGGAACUGAGACACGGUCCAGACUCCUACGGGAGGCAGCAGUAGGGAAUAUUGGACAAUGGGCCCAAGCCUGAUCCAGCCAUGCCGCGUGAGUGAAGAAGGCCCUCGGGUUGUAAAGGCUCUUUUGUCCGGAAAGAAAAGCGCCGGGUUAAUACCCUGGUGUCCUGACGGUACCGGAAGAAUAAGCACCGGCUAACUUCGUGCCAGCAGCCGCGGUAA